GCCUAGUCAAGAUGAAGCCAGAGGAAACUCUGGUGGAUGUCUGAAGUUAUUCUGACGUGCAAAUCGAUAAUCUGAUCUGGGUAUAGGGGCGAAAGACUAAUCGAACCAUCUAGUAGCUGGUUCCUUCCGAAGUUUCCCUCAGGAUAGCAAGCGUACAUCGGUAGUUUCAUCCCGUAAAGCGAAUGAUUAGAGGUCUUGGGGCGUAUAUAUCCUCAACCUAUUCUCAAACUUCUAAUGGGUGUGAGUGUUCUUUCUCAAUUGAAGAACGCUGCUAAAUAAGUAUGCUUAGUGGGCCAUUUUUGGUAAGCAGAACUGGCGCUGUGGGUUGAACCAAAUGUUGAGUUAAAGUGCCUAAAGCUYYYAUGCGCAUGAGAUCUAUAAAGGGUGUUAGUUGCUGAAGACAGCAGGACGGUGGCCAUGGAAGUCGA
rnacentral:rRNA from 1 species